rnacentral:tRNA from 1 species
GUAGCUCAGUAGAGCAUGAGACACUUAAUCUCAAGGUUGUGGGUUCAAGCCCCACACA